UGUUCUGUUGUUUAGUUGGUUAAAGUUCCGGUCGAGCGAAUACGGAGUCGUAGGUUCGAAUCCCACCAGAACGC
rfam:Aedes albopictus isolate Foshan contig78876, whole genome shotgun sequence.